rnacentral:lncRNA from 1 species
GGGAUCUCGUCAGGCCAGGUCGCUCGACCCCUACUCAUCCUACGCAAAGCCCCCAUGACCUCACCAGCCCUAAUGCGCCUGCAGUACCCAAGGUCUCUAUGCUGCUCUGAAUGCCCUAGCUACCCUAGCUCUAUGUUACGAUCUCCCUCCUCGUUAAGCAAGUCUCGAAAGUACGUCUGCCACCUCUGCUUGACUUGAGACUCCCCCAUCAGAACUCUACCA